rnacentral:rRNA from 1 species
UGAGGAAUAUUGGUCAAUGGGCGCAAGCCUGAACCAGCCAUGCCGCGUGCAGGAUGACUGCCUUAUGGGUUGUAAACUGCUUUUAUACGGGAAGAAACCCCUGAACGUGUUCAGGGUUGACGGUACUGUAGGAAUAAGGAUCGGCUAACUCCGUGCCAGCAGCCGCGGUAAUACGGAGGAUCCAAGCGUUAUCCGGAUUUAUUGGGUUUAAAGGGUGCGUAGGCGGACCAGUAAGUCAGAGGUGAAAUCCCACAGCUCAACUGUGGAACUGCCUUUGAUACUGUUGGACUUGAGUACAUUUGAAGUGGGCGGAAUGUGUCAUGUAGCGGUGAAAUGCUUAGAUAUGACACAGAACACCGAUUGCGAAGGCAGCUCACUAAACUGUCACUGACGCUGAAGCACGAAAGCGUGGGGAUCAAACAGG